AUAACUUCCCNNNAGACCUAGCUGCUAUCGANGCUCCNUCUACAAAUGGAUAAGAUCCCAGUCUAGUCUAUAGGAGGUUUUGAAAAGAAAGGAGCAAUAAUCAUUUUCUUGUUCUAUCAAGAAGGUGCUAUUGCUCCUUUCUUUUUUUCUUUUUAUAUUAUUAAUUUACCAGUAUUUUACUUAUAUAGACUUUUUGGUUUACAUUAUAGAAAAAGAAGGAGAGGGUAUUUGCCUGCAUUUAUUCAUGAUUGAGUAUUCUAUUUUGAUUUUGUAUUUAUUUUAAACUGUAUAAAUAUAACUUGUUCCUCUUGUUGCUAAUGUUACUAUAUCUUUUUUAUUUCAUUUCUAAAAAAAAUCUAAUUUUGACUUCAUAUUCUUAUCUUUGAAAUAAGAAAGAAGAGAUAUUUUCGAACUUUAAUCUUUUGUUUUCGAAUUUAAAUAAUGUCAAAAUGGAAUGUAAGUACGCGAGGGGGCGGAUGUAGCCAAGUGGAUCAAGGCAGU
rnacentral:misc_RNA from 1 species